UGCCCCAUGGCUGAGUUGGUUACAGCGUCCGACUGUUAUUGUCGGAGACUAUUUCUAACAUCGGAAGGUCGUGAGUUCGAGCCUCACUGGGGCAG